rnacentral:rRNA from 1 species
UACGUAGGAGGCAAGCGUUGUCCGGAUUUACUGGGCGUAAAGCGCGCGCAGGCGGCAGUGCAAGUAAGGUGUGAAAUCUCCCUGCUCAACGGGGAGGGUGCAUUUUAGACUGCACAGCUAGAGGUCGGUAGAGGGGGGUGGAAUUGCUGGUGUAGCGGUGAAAUGCGUAGAGAUCAGCAGGAACACCCGUGGCGAAGGCGGCCCCCUGGGCCGUACCUGACGCUGAGGCGCGAAGGCUAGGGGAGCAAACAGG